rnacentral:rRNA from 1 species
ACAUGGGCUAUGCCUAUGAAAAUUAUUAUACAACUUUCAGCAACGGAUCUCUUGGCUCUCGCAUCGACGAAGAACGCAGCGAAAUGCGAUAAGUAAUGUGAAUUGCAGAAUUCAGUGAAUCAUCGAAUCUUUGAACGCAUCUUGCGCUCCUUGGUAUUCCGAGGAGCAUGCCUGUUUGAGUGUCAUUAUAUUCUCAACUCUCCAAUACU